rnacentral:rRNA from 1 species
AUACAGAGGGUGCAAGCGUUAAUCGGAAUUACUGGGCGUAAAGCGCGCGUAGGCGGUUUUGUAAGUCGGAUGUGAAAGCCCUGAGCUCAACUCAGGAACUGCAUUCGAUACUGCAUAACUAGAGUAUGCUAGAGGGAAGUGGAAUUCCAGGUGUAGCGGUGAAAUGCGUAGAUAUCUGGAGGAACAUCAGUGGCGAAGGCGACUUCCUGGACCAAUACUGACGCUGAGGUGCGAAAGCGUGGGGAGCAAACAGGAGUAGAUACCCUAGUAGUCC